rnacentral:rRNA from 1 species
UUGGUGGGGUGAUGGCCUACCAAGGCGACGACGGGUAGCCGGCCUGAGAGGGUGUCCGGCCACACUGGGACUGAGAUACGGCCCAGACUCCUACGGGAGGCAGCAGUGGGGAAUAUUGCACAAUGGGCGCAAGCCUGAUGCAGCGACGCCGCGUGGGGGAUGACGGCCUUCGGGUUGUAAACCUCUUUCACCAUCGGCGAAGCCAGAUGCUUUUGUGUCUGGUGACGGUAGGUGGAGAAGAAGCACCGGCCAACUACGUGCCAGCAGCCGCGGUAAUACGUAGGGUGCGAGCGUUGUCCGGAAUUACUGGGCGUAAAGAGCUCGUAGGUGGUUUGUCGCGUUGUCCGUGAAAUUCCCUGGCUUAACUGGGGGCGUGCGGGCGAUACGGGCAGACUGGAGUACUGCAGGGGAGACUGGAAUUCCUGGUGUAGCGGUGGAAUGCGCAGAUAUCAGGAGGAACACCGGUGGCGAAGGCGGGUCUCUGGGCAGUAACUGACGCUGAGGAGCGAAAGCGUGGGGAGCGAACAGGAUUAGAUACCCUGGUAGUCCACGCCGUAAACGGUGGGUACUAGGUGUGGGUUUCCUUCCUUGGGAUCCGUGCCGUAGCUAACGCAUUAAGUACCCCGCCUGGGGGAGUACGG